GGAAUAUUGCACAAUGGGCGCAAGCCUGAUGCAGCCAUGCCGCGUGUGUGAAGAAGGCCUUCGGGUUGUAAAGCACUUUCAGCGAGGAGGAAGGUGUGUUGGUUAAUACCCAACACAUUUGACGUUACUCGCAGAAGAAGCACCGGCUAACUCCGUGCCAGCAGCCGCGGUAAUACGGAGGGUGCGAGCGUUAAUCGGAAUUACUGGGCGUAAAGCGCAUGCAGGCGGUCUGUUAAGUCAGAUGUGAAAGCCCCGGGCUCAACCUGGGAACUGCAUUUGAAACUGGCAGACUAGAGUCUUGUAGAGGGGGGUAGAAUUUCAGGUGUAGCGGUGAAAUGCGUAGAGAUCUGAAGGAAUACCAGUGGCGAAGGCGACCCCCUGGACAAAGACUGACGCUCAGAUGCGAAAGCGUGGGUAGCGAACAGGAUUAGAUACCCCGGUAGUCC
rnacentral:rRNA from 1 species